CCUCAUCAAGAAAACUUCUCCUUGCAACAGAGACCAUUAUAGAAAAUGCAGAGUUGUAGAGCCCAGUUCUAUCUCUAAAGCACAGUUCCUGCUCCUAAGGCUCUGGGAUCAUUUUGGAAGAGAGAGUAGAAGGAUUGCCCUGAAUAAAACAUAAACACCAGGGAACACGUUGAUGCAACUGAGAAGUAUAAAAGUUGGAAGUCAGAAGAGUCAGUGAGAGUCCCUCUCAGACAAGCCAAGGUGAAAAGACCACUCAAGACCAGACAAGCUGCCUGGAAGAUGUUUAGACCUACUGAGGCAUAUGGAAAGGAUACUCUGCAACUUGUUGAUCUGAUUACAGGCUGUGCAGUGUGCUCCAGGCUCCCUGCUUUUGUGAGCUGUCAACCAUGCUGGGGUGGGCUUUGGUGAUGCAGCUGUCUCUGAAU
rnacentral:lncRNA from 1 species